CGUGCACACAAUGAACCUGACAGGCGCGUGUCCACGCUGAUGUCACGGGGCCUGUGGACGGGGGCCUGUGGACGGGGGCGCUGCCCCUUGGAGUCCUCCCUAACUCAGCCAUGCCCAGAUUCCUGCGUGGUCGGCUGUAACUGAGGUGAGUGCCACAAGGCCUCUGCGUGUGUUCAGAGUGUCCACACCAGACUCCGGCCGGACUCAUGGGCCCUGGGACUCCGCAGCCCUCGACCUUGGCAGCCUCCUUGCCUGUGGGUGCUUGAAUGCCACGCAGCAUCCGACACAUCCCACAACCUUGAGUCUGCUAUGAGUCAAGUGUGGUCGCUGUAGAUAAGGAGG
ensembl:lncRNA LINC01502 long intergenic non-protein coding RNA 1502